UUGGAGGGCAAGUCUGGUGCCAGCAGCCGCGGUAAUUCCAGCUCCAAUAGCGUAUAUUAAAGUUGCUGCAGUUAAAAAGCUCGUAGUUGAAUUUCGGGGUUAGUAGGUUGGUCAUGCCUCUGGUAUGUACUGGUCUCACCGAUUCCUCCUUCCUGAUGAUCCGUAAUGCCAUUUAUUUGGUGUUGCGGGGAAUUUGGACUGUUACUUUGAAAAAAUUAGAGUGUUUAAAGCAAGCUAACGCUUGAAUACAUUAGCAUGGAAUAAUGAAAUAGGACGUUCGAUCCUAUUUUGUUGGUUUCUAGGAUUGACGUAAUGAUUAAUAGGGAUAGUUGGGGGCAUUAGUAUUCAAUUGUCAGAGGUGAAAUUCUUGGAUUUAUUGAAGACUAACUACUGCGAAAGCAUUUGCCAAGGAUGUUUUCAUUAAUCAAGAACGAAAGUUAGGGGAUCGAAGACGAUCAGAUACCGUCGUAGUCUUAACCAUAAACUAUGCCGACUAGGGAUCGGAUGAUGUUAAUUUUUUAAUGACUCAUUCGGCGCCUUACGGGAAAC
rnacentral:rRNA from 1 species